GAGAGAGACAUGCGCAGUGAGUGCCUCCCGUCUCUUCUACCCGAACCCCCCCUCCCCCCCCCAGCAGAGAGACCCCAGCAGCAGCAGCAGCUGAUGAUGAAGAGAGAGGCAGUGGCAGAGGGGGGGCACCUUUUAUUUCUAUUUUUAAAGGGACAGGACACUAAUUUUACCCCACUUCAACCUUGAAUUGAGGGGGGUGGGGGGAAGGCGGCUGAGUUCCUUCCCCCACCCUCCAGCCCUGAGACCUGAGAGGGGGAUUGAGCCUGAGAGAGAAGAAGAAGGAGUUUCUUCUUCUUCGAAAACCCCCAUCCACGACUCCUACCCCCUCACCCCUCCACUAGCCUCCCUCCCGAGCCCCCUCCACCCUCCUCCUCUUUGGCCGUGAGAGGAGGAGAGAAAGAGACCAAAAGCCUCUUAGCAACACAGACCCUUCUCUGCUGCUGCUGCUGCUGCUACUGCUGCUGCUGCUUGGCCCUGGCUGGAGACAUCUCACUACACCCAGGAGCAGCCACUUCCCCAGCUCUCCUCCUCCUUCGCCUCCUCCUCCUCCACUCCCCCCCCUUUAUUACCCUUUGUGUCAUCCUCCACAGCUCCAGGGAAGGCACUCAAAAGUGGGGGGCAGGAAAGAUGCUUAUUGAGGAUGCCAGUUUCUGCAUAUGGGAAGUAGAUAUUGAAGGUUAUAUGGUUUACAGACAAGAUCUUUAAAAUAUAGAUACUCAAGGACCAAGGAAACAAAUAUCAGAAGCCAAGAGCACAGAAUACUUUCUUUCAUCAAUCCAUAGAACCCUGAUACUUCUCUAAUUCCAUCACACACAAAGGAAUGACCACCUUGGCAGAUGGCCACAAAGGAUGUCAACAAUUCUUUGGAGGCAAGCAAUGAAAUAUUUAUACUAUGAGCUUUCUGUUGUUAAAGAGAAGAGGCACUCCCUUAUAGGGACUCAUAAAGGCAUAGAGCAUCUAGAGAUUUACUGCCUCCAUUACGCUGCUGGCUCUCACAGCACUUGUUAUGUUUUUAUCAGUUUCUCUCCAGAAGGUAGGAAUUGUGUUUUUUCUGUACGAAUUCUUUAUAUAAUUAUAGUUUUCUUGACUGUGAACUUAAUUUUUUUUAAAUAUGAAAAGCAUCUGACACCUAAAGAAUAAAAUGCCAGGUGUCUCCAAACAGUUAAGACGUAUAAACACAUUGCCUUUAAAAAAUAUUUCUAUUAUAAAAUUAAUAGAUGUUCAUUAAGAAAAAAAGAUAAGACAAACAGAAAAGUAUAGUAAUCUAUCACCUUGUGAUAACUACUCUUUAUAUUUUGUUGUAUGUCUUUCUGAAUUCAUUGAUAUAUUUGUAUACAAUGUAUAAUAUAUGUAUCCAUAUAAUAUUAUGAUUAGGAUUGGUAACAAUAGGAUAUAAAUGUUCUUUGGCUAGAUUGCUUCUUUACUUAGCAACUUAUUGCCUUAUGUGUAAUGUCAGUAAAUAUCAUCUGCAUUUCCAUUAUUAAUGGUUAUAUAAUAUUCCAGUUUAAGAACAUAACAUAAAUUAUGUAACCACUUUCUAAUUAUUGAGUAUAUGGAAUCUUCCAGGUUUUUUCCUGUGUUAAAUAUGACUUCAGUGAACAUUCUUGUACAUACAUGUUUGCAUUUGUGUCUAGUGAUUUUUUAGGACAGUUUCCAAAAAAGUAAGUGUUGCAGACUCUUAGUUCGUAAGCAUGCUCUCUGAUAGGAGGAUUCCAUGGCCUAUAACAUAAAGAACCACUGUUCACCAUCUUGGAGAAUACCUAUGUAUAGUAGUAACAAAGGUCUGAGAAAUCAAACUUAUUUGACUAUAGAAUGUUUUCUUAAGAUAACAUGUGUCUACAGGAUGGAGAAACUGUGGUGUAUGGAGGCAGGGGACAAUAUGGGAAAUUGCUAUACUUAACACUCAGUUUUGCUGUGAGCCUAAAAUUUCUCUGAAAAAUAAAUUUUAUUUAAAAAAAAGGGAAAGAAAAGUUUUUGAAUGCCAUUGUAUACAUUUACAUUUAAAAUUAAAUUUAGACUUUUACAUACACACACACAAAAUAACAUCAGAACAUAUCAACAUCCCACUGAACACUUUGGAAAAUGCUAGCUUAUGGUAUAUUCUUUUAAAUGGAAUUGGGAGAUCAAAGGGGAAAUAUAUGGAAAGGCUCUACCAAUUUGCAUUUCCACCAACAGUGCAUCAGAGUGCCACUUUCUCUGUAAUUUUGCCAUUGGUAUUAACCAAUGCCAUUGGUAUUCAAUUUAAAUAAAUCUGAAAUGAG
ensembl:lncRNA uncharacterized LOC115520475